UCUGACGACCAUAGCGUCUUGGAUCCACCCCUUCCCAUCCCGAACAGGACCGUGAAACAAGACCGCGCCGAUGAUAGUGCAGUCCCCUGUGCGAAAGUAGGUCAUCGUCAGAC
rnacentral:rRNA from 1 species